AUUGGCUAUGCGCUUUGGCAGUGUGGUUAGCUGGUUGUGUAGCCAAUUAAAUUGCCAAAACAAUAAACCACAGCCACUAUCUUCACUGCCGCCGCGACAGGCCAUGA
rnacentral:pre_miRNA from 13 species